CGGCACUUUGGGCUCCUCAACACAGCAACUCAAUCAUCCUCCCUCACUCUCGUGGGCCAGAUGUCCCUACAGGGCAUCUCGAGCUUGCUAAGCAUGAGGAUGAUUGAGAAACAACGUGGUACCUUUCCUCCUCAGUACCGUCUCGCCCAAUCCACCGAGGAGGAGUCCCUGAGGACAUUACUCACAAGGACCCACCGUCUCAGCCACUACCUCAUUCUCGUCUAGUUCAUGUGGCGGCUUCACACGCUGACAUCUCCGAGCACCUUACCCGGUUCAACCAACAGUGUUUUCAAUGCUUC
rnacentral:lncRNA from 1 species